rnacentral:rRNA from 1 species
CUUGAGCGUUGACGUUACCUACAGAAGAAGCACUGGCUAACUCUGUGCCAGCAGCCGCGGUAAUACAGAGAGUGCAAGCGUUAAUCGGAAUCACUGGGCGUAAAGCGCACGUAGGUGGAUAUUUAAGUCGGAUGUGAAAGCCCUAGGCUUAACCUGGGAAUUGCAUCCGAUACUGAGUAUCUCGAGUAUGGUAGAGGGAAGUGGAAUUUCCGGUGUAGCGGUGAAAUGCGUAGAUAUCGGAAAGAACACCAGUGGCGAAGGCGGCUUCCUGGACUAAUACUGACACUGAGGUGCGAAAGCGUGGGGAGCAAACAGGAUUAGAGACCCUGGUAGUCCACGCCGUCAACGAUGAGAACUAGCUGUUGGAGAGUUUACUUUCUAGUAGCGAAGCUAACGCGUUAAGUUCUCCGCCUGGGGAGUACGGCCGCAAGGUUAAAACUCAAAGAAAUUGACGGGGGCCCGCACAAGCGGUGG